CGGUUAAAAAGCUCGUAGUUGGAUUUCUGUCGGUGAUUGGGAGUCCGCCCUCAGUGGUGGGUACUUUUCAAGCCACCGGCAUCUUCCUGGGGACUGUGUCUGCUCUUUGUUGAGUGGCGCAUAAUCCAGGACUUUUACUUUGAAGAAAUAGGAGUGUUUCAAGCAGGCAAUCGCCAUGAACACGUUAGCAUGGAAUAAUAGCAUCGGACCUCGUUCCAAAGCUGUUGGUUUCUUGGGACGAGGUAAAGGUGAAUAGGGAUUGUUGGGGGCAUUCGUAUUUAACUGUCAGAGGUGAAAUUCUUGGAUUUGUUGAAGACGGACUACUGCGAAAGCAUCUGCCAAAGAUGUUCUCAUUGAUCAAGAACGAAAGUUAGGUGAUCGAAGACGAUCAGAUACCGUCCUAGUCUUAACCAUAAACUAUGCCGACUGGAGAUCGGGGGUCGUUAACUUUAUGAACGCCCUCUGCAUCUUGAGAGAAAUCAAAGUCUUUGGGUUCCGGGGGGA
rnacentral:rRNA from 1 species